rnacentral:rRNA from 1 species
UACGUAGGGAGCAAGCGUUGUCCGGAAUCAUUGGGCGUAAAGAGCGCGUAGGCGGCCGUGUAAGUCCGUUCUGAAAGUCGGAGGCUCAACCUCCGAAAGCGGAUGGAUACUGCACGGCUAGAGUCCGGAAGAGGCGAGUGGAAUUCCUGGUGUAGCGGUGGAAUGCGCAGAUAUCAGGAGGAACACCAACGGCGAAGGCAGCUCGCGGGGACGGUAAUGACUCUGAGGCGCGAAAGCGUGGGGAGCAAACAGG